rnacentral:rRNA from 1 species
UACAGAGGGGGCAAGCGUUGUUCGGAAUUACUGGGCGUAAAGGGCGCGUAGGCGGCCUUCUAAGUCGAACGUGAAAUCCCUGGGCUCAACCCAGGAACUGCGUCCGAUACUGGAAGGCUUGAAUCCGGGAGAGGGAUGCGGAAUUCCAGGUGUAGCGGUGAAAUGCGUAGAUAUCUGGAGGAAUACCGGUGGCGAAGGCGGCAUCCUGGACCGGCAUUGACGCUGAGGAGCGAAAGCCAGGGGAGCAAACGGG